rnacentral:misc_RNA from 1 species
UCACCUAAAUCGCGUAGCAUUAAUAANGGGAUGUUUGACAAGACGUCGUAUUGGUUUCUG